GAUGAAGAACGCAGCGAAAUGGGAUAAGUAAUGUGAAUUGCAGAAUUCAGUGAAUCAUCGAAUCUUUGAACGCACAUUGCGCCCCCUGGUAUUCCGGGGGGCAUGCCUGUUCGAGCGUCAUUUCAACCCUCAAGCUCUGCUUGGUAUUGAGUCCAUGUCAGCAAUGGCAGGCUCCAAAAUCAGUGGCGGCGCCGCUGGGUCCUGAACGUAGUAAUAUCUCUCGUUACAGGUGCUCGGCGUGCUUCUGCCAAAACCCCAAUUUUUCUAUGGUUGACCUCGGAUCAGGUAGGGAUACCCGCUGAACUUAAGCAUAUCAAUAAGCGGAGGA
rnacentral:misc_RNA from 1 species